UUCUCGACCUUCACGCCCUCCUAUCAAGGGUCAUGUCCUUACUAUUUAGGAUAGAAGUUAGUGGGACAAGACAGAUGCACGACUACCUACUAAUUUUCUAUCCUAAUUCUCGAACUCCACGCCCUUCUAUCAAGGGUCAUGUCCUCGGUAAGCUGAAGCAACGCAAUAUCCUGUCAAUUGUGUGAUCAUUUUAUUUAAAACUUAAGCUAUUAGAGGAGGAACCUAAAUUCAUCCUAAUUUAUUUAUGUAUGCAGCACUGAGAAUUAAUAUGGUUACAAAUUAAUUUACUCCUUUAUUGGUUAACCUAUAACUAAUACAUUACUCUACAUAACCUAAUUUGAUGCAGCAAUGAAUUCAAACAACAUUACUAAUCAGAAGACGGGUGCCGGAAUCAUCCGCAAAGUCGCCGGCAAAGCUUGUAAAAUUUGCUCAUGUAAAUACCAGAUUUGCAGCAAAUGUCCUAAAUGUCAUGACUAAAGUUAGGCCUUGAGACUAUGUACUUGUGCUGGUGUGAGUUUAGUUUUGAGAGUAAAGGGAAAGUUAUGAAUAGCCUAAUAUAAUUCUAUUAGUACCACUUGUCUUGUAGUCUUUCAACUGUAUGGUAUUGUACUGUAUUUUUCUUUAGCCACUUGAUAUCAAAUCCGAUUAAAUCUAAUUUGCGUUGCAUAUGCUC